GACGAUGGAUUGGUGCCUUCGGGAACUCUGACACAGGUGCUGCAUGGCUGUCGUCAGCUCGUGUCGUGAGAUGUUGGGUUAAGUCCGUAACGAGCGCAACCUUGUCCUUAGUUACCAGCACGUUAUGGUGGGCACUCUAAGGAGACUGCCGGUGACAAACCGGAGGAAGGUGGGAUGACGUCAAGUCAUCAUGGCCCUUACGGCCUGGGCUACACACGUGCUACAAUGGUCGGUACAAAGGGUUGCCAAGCCGCGAGGUGGAGCUAAUCCCAUAAAACCGAUCGUAGUCCGGAUCGCAGUCUGCAACUCGACUGCGUGAAGUCGGAAUCGCUAGUAAUCGUGAAUCAGAAUGUCACGGCGAAUACGUUCCCGGGCCUU
rnacentral:rRNA from 1 species